rnacentral:rRNA from 1 species
UACGAAGGGUCCAAGCGUUGUCCGGAAUCAUUGGGCGUAAAGCGCGCGUAGGCGGCCCAGUAAGUCCGUUGUAAAAGUCAAAGGCUCAACCUUUGAAUGUCAGUGGAUACUGCCGGGCUAGAGUCCGGAAGAGGCGAGUGGAACUCCUGGUGUAGCGGUGGAAUGCGCAGAUAUCAGGAAGAACACCGACGGCGAAGGCAGCUCGCUGGGACGGUACUGACGCUGAGGCGCGAAAGCGUGGGGAGCGAACAGG